AUUGUGUGUGCUGGUGCUGGGGCGGCUACAUAGCUGUGACUACCAGGGGGUGCAGUCUCUGGGGACCACCGCUGCCGAGGCUGGGUACCAUGAUUAUCGCGGAACACCUGCCCAUUAAUCUUGACCCUGUUAAAACAAUAACUGCCUGUCCAGAUAUGCCACACUUCUGCCUGCUGUUGGCAACCCUCCUGGACUAGGCUGCUCUUGUUAAUCACAUGGAUGUUGUUUCUUAAGGUUGCCAGAAUGAAAGUGCUUCAGAUGGCUUUGAGUCCUAAUCUUGUGGUUCUGUUCACUGAAGAUCAGAAACUGAUAAAACAACCUGAAAAUUGGAAAGGAAAGAUUCUGUGGUUUUUCUAAGUCUCUCAAGCCAGUGGACAGCCACAGCACUCAGCGUAAUUGGGCUGAUUACUCUGAGUGCAAACCUUUUCACUGUUACAGAGAGGAGCCUGACAACCACAUUCUCUUUCUCAAGGUGUGGUGCUUACUGCACAGGCUGACCAGAUAUAAGAGUUUGGACUGCCCAGCACACAAGGUCAGCAUGCUGUUCCUCUGUCACACUCUCGCUAUAGCU
rnacentral:sRNA from 1 species